UUUUAGCCCUGAUGGAAGCGGCAUCCUUUUUGUUUUUGUGGUUUGUAUAAUCUAUAUUUCAAAAACAAAAAGAUAAAGCGUACAGCAGGAAUAUGG
rnacentral:sRNA from 1 species